rnacentral:rRNA from 1 species
GACGAACGCUGGCGGCGUGCCUAAUACAUGCAAGUCGAGCGAAUCGAUGGGAGCUUGCUCCCUGAGAUUAGCGGCGGACGGGUGAGGAACACGUGGGUAACCUGCCUGUAAGAGUGGGAUAACUACGGGAAACCGGAGCUAAUACUGGAUACUUUCUUUUCUCGCAUGUGGGAAGAUGGAAAGAUGGUUCUGCUAUCACUUACAGAUGGACCCGCGGCGCAUUAGCUAGUUGGUGAGGUGAGGGCUCACCAAGGCAACGAUGCGUAGCCGACCUGAGAGGGUGAUCGGCCACACUGGGACUGAGACACGGCCCAGACUCCUACGGGAGGCAGCAGUAGGGAAUCUUCCGCAAUGGACGAAAGUCUGACGGAGCAACGCCGCGUGAGCGAAGAAGGCCUUCGGGUCGUAAAGCUCUGUUGUUAGGGAAGAACAAGUACGAGAGUAACUGCUCGUACCUUGACGGUACCUAACCAGAAAGCCACGGCUAACUACGUGCCAGCCGCCGCCGUAAUAC